rnacentral:rRNA from 1 species
CGACAUCGAAAGCUUGCUUUUGAUGGGCGUCGACCGGCGCACGGGUGAGUAACGCGUAUCCAACCUGUCCACCACUUGGGGAUAACCUUGCGAAAGUAAGACUAAUACCCAAUGACGUCUCUAGAGGACAUCUGAAAGAGAUUAAAGAUUUAUCGGUGAUGGAUGGGGAUGCGUCUGAUUAGCUUGUUGGCGGGGUAACGGCCCACCAAGGCUACGAUCAGUAGGGGUUCUGAGAGGAAGGUCCCCCACAUUGGAACUGAGACACGGUCCAAACUCCUACGGGAGGCAGCAGUGAGGAAUAUUGGUCAAUGGACGAGAGUCUGAACCAGCCAAGUAGCGUGCAGGAUGACGGCCCUAUGGGUUGUAAACUGCUUUUAUAAGGGAAUAAAGUGAGUCUCGUGAGACUUUUUGCAUGUACCUUAUGAAUAAGGACCGGCUAAUUCCGUGCCAGCAGCCGCGGUAAUACGGAAGGUCCGGGCGUUAUCCGGAUUUAUUGGGUUUAAAGGGAGCGUAGGCCGGAGAUUAAGCGUGUUGUGAAAUGUAGAUGCUCAACAUCUGCACUGCAGCGCGAACUGGUUUCCUUGAGUACGCACAAAGUGGGCGGAAUUCGUGGUGUAGCGGUGAAAUGCUUAGAUAUCACGAAGAACUCCGAUUGCGAAGGCAGCUCACUGGAGCGCAACUGACGCUGAAGCUCGAAAGUGCGGGUAUCGAACAGGAUUAGAUACCCUGGUAGUCCGCACGGUAAACGAUGGAUGCCCGCUGUUGGUCUGAAUAGGUCAGCGGCCAAGCGAAAGCAUUAAGCAUCCCACCUGGGGAGUACGCCGGCAACGGUGAAACUCAAAGGAAUUGACGG